CAUAAAGUAAGCUAAUUACAAGCUUUUGGAUUCAUAUUCCAAAAAUGGGAAAUAGAAACUCCCCUUUAUUA
rnacentral:tRNA from 1 species